UUCACCCAAAAAAAAAAAAAAAAAAAAAAAAAAAGUCUUGGGUUUAGGGGAAACACCAACAUCGUCAUGCAUAACAAAGUCUAUUUAUUUCUUUAUAAUAACUGUUAGUUAAUUAAUAUAUACAAUAUAGUAACAUCACAUAAUAUUGUGUUCUUGUUAUUUAAUUAUUAUAUAAUACUACUACUACUAUAUUAUUGCUACGUUAAUGUUCUAUCCAUUAUUAUAGGUAUUAUCAUUAUGCCAUGCCACUGAUUUGAGCACUAACUUCUUAAAUUAAUAGCGUCUGAAAAAGCUAAUGCCGUAAAAUUGCUUAUUUGACUAUAAGUCUAGGACACUUGAACAGAUAAAAACUCUCUUUUUAUUGGAUGAUGGAAAAAUAAAUUAGUUUUUCUAAUUGUAAAAUUUUGAUACAUGAUCACAAUUGUAUAGUGUUGUGUUAGAGAUAUGUUUUUGACAAAUGACUUUAAACAUAAUAUAUUGCUAACAUUGCUUUUCACGAAAUGAUGAUAGCAAACAUAACAUAAUAAAUUUUAGAUCACCCUUUAAGCACCAUCUUGUGAAACUAAGUUGAAUGAGGGAUAGUUUGUUAUUGACAGUUUUAUGUGAGUUUCCAGAAUAUUGAAGCAAUUGACAGAUGAGCAAACUUUGAAAGAUAUGUUGUUAUUCUGUGCUUUUUAAGGACUUGAAGUAGUGAAAUGUUGAGUUUCCACAAAUUUUCCAGUCAGAAAGGCAUAAACAAGAUCUCUUAGCUGAGAUAGUUUUGGAGGAGCAACGUGGUAGGGAACUAUCUAAAUUGUAACAGAAUUGCUUCCUAAUACAAAGAGCUCUACAAUUGUGGAUAAACCAUCCCGGGCCUGAAAGAGGAGUAAUGACAGAAAUAAGGUGUCUAAACGAUUGACUGAAGAAGCAGAGAAAUAUUUUGAGGACUUCAUUUCAAAUGUUGAAGAUAUUAAAAUUUCUUUAUUUGAUGGAGAAAGGAGUGAUGCAAGUUUGACUUUAGGAGUAACAAAGACUAGAGAUGCAGUGUCACAUUCUAGGGAAACAGAAACAAUUUAUAAUACAGCAGGAUCUAAUUCUCUUCCUAUUGAAAUGGAUGGUGUUAUUCUGCCUUGGUUGCAGUAGGAGACCGCCAAUGAUGGUCCCCCUCUUCCAUCGAAGAAUAAGAAAGAGCUUCCUGGGACUCUAAAAAGUAUCUUAUGGGAUGCAACUUAGGUAACCUUCAAACUGUCACAUAGUUGUAAUAUUUUAAUUCAUAAAUUGUUGUUCUAACCUUUGCUGACUAAAAGUUAUUGCACAGAACAUACUUUCAUUUAGUUGUAAGUUGACUACUUCACUGGCUUACAAUACUUUCAUUUAGAUGUAAGUUGUUUGCUUCAUUGGUUUAUAAGAAAUUAGUUGCCUUUUGUACUUGUGAUAAGAAUUAUACAAUAUCAACUCUUCAGAUUUUAAAUUAAGGUUGGUAAAUUUUUAAACAAGAUUUUUUUAGCUGAAAUUUUAAGUUUAAUAGAACUUUAUAUUUUAUAGGUUGAAAUUUGACAGCAUAUAGAACAUUGAAAGGGGAAAAUAAACAGACUUUACAAUCUUCUCUUUUUUUUUUUCUUUUUUUUUUGGAUAAGUACAGACUUUACAAUCUUUACACGUGCGUAUCUUAAAAGUGAAAAUUUUAAGUUGGUACAUGCAGUUUUCAAACUCUGACUUUUCUCAAUUAUUUGGUCAUGUCUCAUUUGAGUUUUAAUUGUUUUACAAAAUUGUUCAAAUGGCAUUUAUAUAGGCAAACAUGAUGUGGUUACAAUAAUUUAUGUUUGUAUUUGCUUGAAGUCAAUGCUAUUGCUGUGUAAUAAAAUGUUGCUUAGUUGCCAAUGCAUUCAACCCAAACUGUCUACCAAUCCUUUAGUUGUCCAACCACCCAAGCAACUGGGUUGACUUGGGGCAUCAUGCUGAUAUCAAAAUGCCUAUUAACAAACAUAAUUAGCAAAAAAGAUGAGAAAUAAUUUGAAGACAAAUUAUGAUGACCUUGAUCUAGUGCACUGUUCAUAGCCCUAUUGGUGCCACAAGAUCCAUUUAAGGAAAUGCUAAUUUACUUCACUCUGUUUUUUAUUUUGUUUUCUUUGACUAGUAAAUAAUUCUUCAAGUCUACUGCCAUCUCCACUUAUUGAAAGGCUUUAAACUCCAUUCUGGUUUUUAAAACAUUGAUUAUAGAACAGAAUGUGUUUCACUCAAACAUUAUUUAUAGGAUAUAGUUUCAACACUUUUUUGCAUCACCCAUCAAUAGGGAAUUUCGGGUCCUCAAUUCAAUAUUGCUCAUAUUAAUUUGCAUUUUUUUCCUCUAAUUAAAUUCUUAGAUUUUGACCAUCUGUUUUUGGUUGCUUGGAAUAUUAGUUAGGUGAUUAGAUUUGCUGCAGAACCAUGUUCUGCACUUUUUUUUUUUUUUGUUGCAACAAUGCGAAACUCAUUUAGGCCAUUAUUCAUGGGUAUAAAAUGGAUGACUUGCAAAUAAGCAUGCAUUGUGGCUGUAACCAAAAGUUAAUGGUGGCAAGGAGAGAAUCUGUUGAGUGGAUUUUAAGGGUUAGGAGUUAAAAGGAUGUAACCAAAAGUAAAAGCCAUGUGUGGUACAAUUAACUCUUUAUACAACAGAAAUGGGUGAUCAUGAGCAAGAUGGGGAAGCAAUUGAGCUUGCCUUCAGUAAGAAGAAAAUUGAAGCAAGGAAGAAUUGGCUCCGACAGUUUGAGCCUGGAACUUACCUUGAUCAGAAGGAGAAGGUCAUCAAGUACAGUGAUUUUGUCAACAAAGAGCUUUUAUUGUUUUCUAUGGCAGAUCUUCAACGGUCAAUUCCUUCAAUGGUUGAUGGCCUAAAACCAGGUCAAAGGAAGAUUCUUUUCUAGAAUAUUCAGUUAAUGCUAAUUACUAUACAAUUUUUUGAAACUCUUGUUUUACAUCAUUCUCUCCCUUUAGGAAAAAAAACCUCACCCUUGAUUUACUAUGAAUCGAAACUUCAUACGUUUGAGCUUGUCUGCAUCUAUCUUAUAGUUAAGGAUAAUCUUUUCACAUACUUGACUUUGGAAAAGUGUAACUCCUCUUGGGAUGAUUGUUGAAUGCAUAUGUCACAUAAAGGAUACUUGCUCCCAUCUAUGUGCAUUCUCUCUUAGUUCUUUUAGGAAAUAACAAUUCCUUGAAUUCUUAAAUUACUUAAGCAAGGAAUUUUGGCAUCUUCUUAAAAACCCUUCUUUUCAUUAGUUCGGUCAAGGUCGUACACUUUAGUAGGACAAGGAAAAUAACUAAGAGCAUAGUCAAAAAGUGGUUGCACACCUUUGUUUUUAAUUGCACUGCCCAAUAAUACAAGAACAAACUUCUGCGCUGUGGUAGCCCUCCGGUUUUCCUCUGUUAUUAAGCCAUCAGUUGGUGAAUAUUUUGAACUACAUAAUUUGAUCUCAUCUUGCAAUUUGACAAAUUUUUUUUUUUUUUGUUUGACGAAUCUUCACUUUCUGUAACAAGACUUCCAACUUUUGCAAUAAUGUCUUGGAUUUUUUCUUGGUAUACUUUCAAGACUUUUUCUUCAUUUAUUUCUUGGACACGAGACAAUAUAGAUUUGUCUUCAAACGUGAGCCCUUCAAGGAUAGUUUCGACAUAAGUAUUAAUAGUAUGGUGCUUAGGCUUGUAUUUUUCCUCCAAUAAUUGCUCAUAAUUCCAUGGCAAAAAAAUCUCCAUUAUAUGCCUUUUCAUUCUUGACCAUGAACGAAUACGCACCUUGCCUUGUUGCUCUCUUGAUGAUUGCAAAUCUAACUAUCACCAAAGUGCAGGACCUGUAAGCUUUAAUAACACAAACCUCUACUUUUAUUUGUUUGGAAUUUUCAUAUUUUCAAUAUAUAUAUAUAUAUCUAGUAUCCAAUCUAGAAUAUCUUAAAAUAUUCACCACCACUAAAUU